rnacentral:rRNA from 1 species
AUUGAACGCUGGCGGAAUGCUUUACACAUGCAAGUCGAACGGCAGCACGGACUUCGGUUUGGUGGCGAGUGGCGAACGGGUGAGUAAUGUAUCGGAACGUGCCCAGUCGUGGGGGAUAACGUAGUGAAAAUUACGCUAAUACCGUAUACGAUCUAUGGAUGAAAGCGGGGGAUCGCAAGACCUCGCGCGAUUGGAGCGGCCGAUAGCAGAUUAGGUAGUUGGUGGGGUAAAGGCCCCCCAAGCCAACGAUCUGUAGCUGGUCUGAGAGGACGCCCGGCCACACUGGAACUGGGACACGGACCAGAGUCCUACGGGAGGCAGCAGUGGGGAAUUUUGGACAAUGGGCGAAGGCCUGAUCCAGCCAUUCCGCGGGCAGGAUGAAGGCCCUCGGGUUGUAAACUGCUUUUGUACAGAACGAAAAGGUUUCUACUAAUACUAGGAGCUCAUGGCGGUACUGUAAGAAUAAGCACCGGCUAACUACGUGCCAGCCGCCGCCGUAA